rnacentral:tRNA from 1 species
GGAGACGUCGCAUAGUCAGGCCGAGUGCACCACCCUGCUAAGGUGGAGUCCCCCUUUCGGGGGACCGAGGGUUCAAAUCCCUCCGUCUCCGCCA